GGGUGUGCAAGUGAUCUAGCUGCAACAUCUGUCACCCCAUUGAUUGCCAGGCUGGCUUCAUUAGUUCUGGCUGGCUAAGUUAGGGUCUCUCCUUUACCUUUCCUCAUGCAUCUCCCUUCUAGCUGCAGACUCUGUCAAGGAAAGCAUCUUUCACUAAUUGGGUGGUCCCUUCUUCAGAGAUCAUACUUAUUUUUAGGGAAUAAUGCCUCUUGAUUCAAGAUCCCCUU
rnacentral:sRNA from 1 species